GAUGAGCGCUGGCGGCGUGCCUAAUACAUGCAAGUCGAGCGAACAGACGAGGAGCUUGCUCCUCUGACGUUAGCGGCGGACGGGUGAGUAACACGUGGAUAACCUACCUAUAAGACUGGGAUAACUUCGGGAAACCGGAGCUAAUACCGGAUAACAUGUUGAACCGCAUGGUUCAACAGUGAAAGACGGUCUUGCUGUCGCUUAUAGAUGGAUCCGCGCCGCAUUAGCUAGUUGGUAAGGUAACGGCUUACCAAGGCAACGAUGCGUAGCCGACCUGAGAGGGUGAUCGGCCACACUGGAACUGAGACACGGUCCAGACUCCUACGGGAGGCAGCAGUAGGGAAUCUUCCGCAAUGGGCGAAAGCCUGACGGAGCAACGCCGCGUGAGUGAAGAAGGUCUUCGGAUCGUAAAACUCUGUUAUUAGGGAAGAACAAAUGUGUAAGUAACUAUGCACGUCUUGACGGUACCUAAUCAGAAAGCCACGGCUAACUACGUG
rnacentral:rRNA from 1 species